AUGGGGGGAGGUCCGUCGAUGUCGCUGCUGUGCUACUACUGCCUGGUGUUCGCCGCCGGCCUGGUGUCGGCGUCGGCGGCGACUGGAACGAGCGUGCCGCCGCCGCUGCCGAUGCUGCCCAUCCCGACGGCGGCGCAGCUGGCGUGGCAGCGGCGCGAGGUCAUCAUGUUCUUCCACUUCGGGAUGAACACCUUCACGGACGUGGAGCGGGGCACGGGGGCCGAGGACCCGGCCCUCUUCGCCCCGGCCGCGCUCAACGCCAACCAGUGGAUGGACGCGGCGGCGGCCGCCGGCGCCUCGCUCGCCAUCCUCGUCGCCAAGCACCACGACGGCUUCUGCCUCUGGCCGUCCGCCUACACCGCCCACUCCGUGCGCGCCAGCCCCUGGCACGCCGGCAACGGCGACGUCGUCGGUGAGUUCACGGCCGCGGCCCGCGCACGGGGCGUCGACGCCGGCCUCUACCUCUCGCCGUGGGACCUCCACGACCGCCGCUACGGCCAAGAGGUCGCGUACAACGAGUACUACAUGGCCCAGCUCCACGAGCUCCUCACCCGGUACGGGAAGGUGUGGGAGAUCUGGUUCGACGGCAACAAGGGGACGAACGCGACCAAGAUGACGUACCAUUUCCAGGAGUGGUUCGACACCGUGAGGCAGCUGCAGGGCUCCAUCAACAUCUUCUCCGACGCCGGCCCCGACAUCCGGUGGGUCGGCGACGAGAACGGCUUCGCCGGCACCACCUGCUGGUCCGCCGUCAACCGAUCCUCCAUAACCAUCGGCAGCGCCGGCAUCGAGAAGUACCUGAACGAGGGCGAUCCGCGGGGCACGGAGUGGGUGCCGCCGGAGUGCGACGUGUCGAUCCGGCCGGGCUGGUUCUGGCACCGGAACGAGACGGCCAAGCCGCUGAGCCAGCUGCUCAACAUCUACUACAACUCGGUGGGCCGCAACUGCGUGCUGCUGCUGAACGCGCCGCCCAACGCCACGGGCCUCAUCGACGGCGCCGACAUGGCCAGGCUGCGCGAGUUCGGCGCCGCCGUGAGGCGCAUCUUCGGCACGGACCUGGCCGAGGGCAGCAGGGCGCGGGCCAGCAGCGAGCGCGGCGGCGGAUUCGAGGCGGGGAAGGUGCUGGACGGGCGCGAGGAGACGUACUGGGCGCCGACGGCGGAGGACGGGUGGCGGAACGGGUACUGGAUCGAGCUGCGGCGGCCGGCGGGGGCGCGGGCGUUCAACGUGGUGCGGGUGCAGGAGCACGUGGCGCUGGGGCAGCGGGUGGAGCGGCACGAGGUGUACGUGGACGGCGUGGCCGUGGCCCGCGGCACCACGGUGGGCCACAAGCGGCUGCACCGGCUGGCCUGCCCCGUCGCCGGGCGGACGGUGAGGAUAUGGUUCGCGGCGCGGCGCGGGCCGCCGCUGGUGUCGGCGGUGGGCCUCCACCUCGACCCCUACGCAACCGACGUCAUGUGA
rnacentral:rRNA from 1 species